UACGUAGGCAGCGAGCGUUGUGUCGGAGUUACUGGGCGUAAAGGGUGCGCAGGCGGCCUGGCGCGUCGCGAGUGAAAUCUCCUGGCUCAACUGGGGAGGGUGGUCGCGAGACGGCUGGGCUUGAGGCUCGGUGAGGGGCGUGGAAUUCCGGGUGGAGCGGUGAAAUGCGUAGAGAUCCGGAGGAACACCGACGGCGUAGGCAGCGCCCUAGACGAGACCUGACGCUCAGGCACGAAAGCGCGGGGGAGCGAACAGG
rnacentral:rRNA from 1 species